rnacentral:rRNA from 1 species
AGAAUCAACGCUGGCGGCGUGCCUAACACAUGCAAGUCGAACGAGAAAGUGGAGCAAUCCAUGAGUACAGUGGCGACCGGGUGAGUAACACGUGACUACUACCCUUGAGUGGGGGAUAACCUCGGGAAACCGAGGCUAAUACCGCAUAAUAUCGAGAGAUCAAAGGAGCAAUUCGCUUUUGGAGGGGGUCGCGGCUGAUUAGCUAGUUGGCGGGUAAUGGCCCACAAGGCAAGAUCGGUA